GACGAACGCUGGCGGCGUGCCUAAUACAUGCAAGUUGAGCGCUGAAGGUUGGUACUUGUACCCACUGGAUCAGCAGCGAACGGGUGAGUAACGCGUGGGGAAUCUGCCUUUGAGCGGGGGACAACAUUUGGAAACGAAUGCUAAUACCGCAUAAAAACUUUAAACACAAGUUUUAAGUUUGAAAGAUGCAAUUGCAUCACUCAAAGAUGAUCCCGCGUUGUAUUAGCUAGUUGGUGAGGUAAAGGCUCACCAAGGCGAUGAUACAUAGCCGACCUGAGAGGGUGAUCGGCCACAUUGGGACGGAGACACGGCCCAAACUCCUACGGGAGGCAGCAGUAGGGAAUCUUCGGCAAUGGACGAAAGUCCGACCGAGCAACGCCGCGUGAGUGAAGAAGGGUUUCGGAUCGUAAAACUCUGUUGGUAGAGAAGAACGUUGGUGAGAGUGGAAAGCUCAUCAAGUGACGGUAACUACCCAGAAAGGGACGGCUAACUACGUG
rnacentral:rRNA from 1 species